AGGUUUAAACAGAAGAGCUUUUCAUUAAAGGCUGCUGUGAAAACAUCAGAAGGAUCAUGCCUGGUCACCGCAGGGGGAGGAGCCUCUCUGAGGGGCUGAUGCUGGAGGAAUCAGAUAAAGGAGGAUUGGUCGUCUCCAGCGUUAUCGGUGGCUCUGGCAAUCAGGGGCUCAAAGAAGGAGAUGAAAUUGUGGGUGCCACAAUCAACUUCGACCAACUUUCAAAAGACGAUGUGUUGAAAAUACUGAAGCUGAUGGAUGAUAAUGGAUUUGAUGAGAAGGUUCAAGUUCUGACCAAAAAUAAUUUGAGCAAGAGUAUGGGGACCUUGGACAGCAUCAAAGCCCCA